CCUACGGGGUGCUGUAGUGAGGAAUAUUGGUCAAUGGACGAGAGUCUGAACCAGCCAAGUAGCGUGAAGGAUGACUGCCCUAUGGGUUGUAAACUUCUUUUAUAUGGGAAUAAAAUGUUCCACGUGUGGGAUUUUGUAUGUACCAUAUGAAUAAGGAUCGGCUAACUCCGUGCCAGCAGCCGCGGUAAUACGGAGGAUCCGAGCGUUAUCCGGAUUUAUUGGGUUUAAAGGGAGCGUAGGUGGAUUGUUAAGUCAGUUGUGAAAGUUUGCGGCUCAACCGUAAAAUUGCAGUUGAAACUGGCAGUCUUGAGUACAGUAGAGGUGGGCGGAAUUCGUGGUGUAGCGGUGAAAUGCUUAGAUAUCACGAAGAACUCCGAUUGCGAAGGCAGUUCACUGGACUGCAACUGACACUGAGGCUCGAAAGUGUGGGUAUCAAACAGGAUUAGAUACCCUUGUAGUC
rnacentral:rRNA from 1 species